rnacentral:rRNA from 1 species
CCGUGAAUACGUUCCCGGGUCUUGUACACACCGCCCGUCAAAUCACGAAAGUUGGGAGUGCCCGACGUGCCGUCUUUGCACGGCCCUAAGGUAAGCCCAGCGAUUGGGGUU